rnacentral:tRNA from 15 species
UGGGGCGUGGCCAAGUGGUAAAGCAACGGGUUUUGGUCCCGCUAUUCGGAGGUUCGAAUCCUUCCGUCCCAG